rnacentral:SRP_RNA from 1 species
UGUGCUAGAUGGGGAGUUAGCGGUUCCCUGUAACCUGAAAUCCGCUUAUGCAGGAUUGAAUUCCGAAAGAAGGGUUUUGCUGCGUUUUAAAUGGUUUUUAAAUUAAUGUUGAAGUGAACAGCUCUGCGCAAUAAUUUUUAGUUGAACUCCGUCAGAUCUGGAAAGAAGCAGCGGUAGAUUAAAUAAUUAUGUGCCGUGGAAUCACUGUUUAUGAGUUAAUUUUUUAA